AACGAACGCUGGCGGCAUGCCUAACACAUGCAAGUCGAACGAGACCUUCGAGUCUAGUGGCGCACGGGUGCGUAACGCGUGGGAACCUUCCCUUAGGUUCGGAAUAACUCCCCGAAAGGGGUGCUAAUACCGGAUAAUGUCUUCGGACCAAAGAUUUAUCGCCUUUGGAUGGGCCCGCGUUGGAUUAGCUAGUUGGUAGGGUAAAAGCCUACCAAGGCGACGAUCCAUAGCUGGUCUGAGAGGAUGAUCAGCCACACUGGGACUGAGACACGGCCCAGACUCCUACGGGAGGCAGCAGUGGGGAAUAUUGGACAAUGGGCGAAAGCCUGAUCCAGCCAUGCCGCGUGAGUGAUGAAGGCCGUAGGGUUGUAAAGCUCUUUUACCCGGGAUGAUAAUGACAGUACCGGGAGAAUAAGCACCGGCUAACUCCGUG
rnacentral:rRNA from 1 species